GACUGGCUGGUCUAACGGAAUGACGCUCCAUUUAUUCUACAAGGGUCCCGGAGCAGUGUGGGUUCGAAUCCCGCGCUGGUUG